GACAUGCAAGUCGAACGCCUUCAAUUCUGCCGGUGGAGGCGUGGCGGACGGGCUCAGUAACACGUAGCUAACCUACCCUCAGACAGGGACAACUCCGGGAAACUGGGGCUAAUGCCUGAUAGUGAGAGCCUGGAAUGGUUCUUCAUUGAAAGGACACUGGGACCGUGCCCUCAGCGUUGCCUGAGGAUGGGGCUGCGGCCGAUCAGGUAGUUGGUGAGGUAAAGGCUCACCAAGCCUAUAACCGGUACGGGCCGUGAGAGCGGUACCCGGAAUGGGUACUGAACAAGGGCCCAGGCCCUACGGGGCGCACAGUCGCGAAAACUCCGCAAUACGCGAAAGCGUGACGGGGCUACCCCGAGUGCCGUCCGCUGAGGAUGGCUUUUCUCCGGUGUAAUGAGCCGGAGGAAUAAGGAGAGGGCAAGUCUGGUGUCAGCCGCCGCGGUAAUACCAGCUCUCCGAGUGGUGGGGACGAUUAUUGAGCCUAAAGCGUCCGUAGCCUGCCCGGCAAGUCUUCCGUUAAAUCCAACGAUCUAAUCGUUGGACUGCGGGAGAUACUGUUGGGCUAGGGGCGGGAAAGCCGACGGUACUGCUAGGUAGGGUGAAAUCCUAUAAUCCUGGGAGGACCAGCAGUGGCGAAGGCGGUCGGCUAAACGCGCCCGACGGUGAGGGACGAAAGCUGGGGGACGAACCGGAUUAAGAUACCCGGGUAGUCCCAGCCGUA
rnacentral:rRNA from 1 species